GUACUUCCUUCGGUAGUAUAUAUAAUAAAAUUGAAACGAUGCAAAGAAGUGUUAGCGUGGCUCGUGCGCAAGGAUGACAUGCAAAGUCGUGAAGUGUUGCAUUGAAAU